UGCAAGUCGAACGAACUCCUGGUAUUGAUUGGUGCUUGCAUCAUGAUUUACAUUUGAGUGAGUGGCGAACUGGUGAGUAACACGUGGGAAACCUGCCCAGAAGCGGGGGAUAACACCUGGAAACAGAUGCUAAUACCGCAUAACAGCUUGGACCGCAUGGUCCGAGUUUGAAAGAUGGCUUCGGCUAUCACUUUUGGAUGGUCCCGCGGCGUAUUAGCUAGAUGGUGAGGUAACGGCUCACCAUGGCAAUGAUACGUAGCCGACCUGAGAGGGUAAUCGGCCACAUUGGGACUGAGACACGGCCCAAACUCCUACGGGAGGCAGCAGUAGGGAAUCUUCCACAAUGGACGAAAGUCUGAUGGAGCAACGCCGCGUGAGUGAAGAAGGGUUUCGGCUCGUAAAACUCUGUUGUUAAAGAAGAACAUAUCUGAGAGUAACUGUUCAGGUAUUGACGGUAUUUAACCAGAAAGCCACGGCUAACUACGUGCCAGCAGCCGCGGUAAUACGUAGGUGGCAAGCGUUGUCCGGAUUUAUUGGGCGUAAAGCGAGCGCAGGCGGUUUUUUAAGUCUGAUGUGAAAGCCUUCGGCUCAACCGAAGAAGUGCAUCGGAAACUGGGAAACUUGAGUGCAGAAGAGGACAGUGGAACUCCAUGUGUAGCGGUGAAAUGCGUAGAUAUAUGGAAGAACACCAGUGGCGAAGGCGGCUGUCUGGUCUGUAACUGACGCUGAGGCUCGAAAGUAUGGGUAGCAAACAGGAUUAGAUACCCUGGUAGUCCAUACCGUAAACGAUGAAUGCUAAGUGUUGGAGGGUUUCCGCCCUUCAGUGCUGCAGCUAACGCAUUAAGCAUUCCGCCUGGGGAGUACGGCCGCAAGGCUGAAACUCAAAGGAAUUGACGGGGGCCCGCACAAGCGGUGGAGCAUGUGGUUUAAUUCGAAGCUACGCGAAGAACCUUACCAGGUCUUGACAUACUAUGCAAAUCUAAGAGAUUAGACGUUCCCUUCGGGGACAUGGAUACAGGUGGUGCAUGGUUGUCGUCAGCUCGUGUCGUGAGAUGUUGGGUUAAGUCCCGCAACGAGCGCAACCCUUAUUAUCAGUUGCCAGCAUUAAGUUGGGCACUCUGGUGAGACUGCCGGUGACAAACCGGAGGAAGGUGGGGAUGACGUCAAAUCAUCAUGCCCCUUAUGACCUGGGCUACACACGUGCUACAAUGGAUGGUACAACGAGUUGCGAACUCGCGAGAGUAAGCUAAUCUCUUAAAGCCAUUCUCAGUUCGGAUUGUAGGCUGCAACUCGCCUACAUGAAGUCGGAAUCGCUAGUAAUCGCGGAUCAGCAUGCCGCGGUGAAUACGUUCCCGGGCCUUGUACACACCGCCCGUCACACCAUGAGAGUUUGUAACACCCAAAGUCGGUGGGGUAACCUUUUAGGAACCAGCCGCCU
rnacentral:rRNA from 1 species